UUUAAUUUAAGGACGUUUUUUAAAUCAUAUAAAUAAAGUCCUAAAACUGAAUAUAUUGUAAGAAUUUUUUUAUAAUUUUCUUGCAAACAUUUAAAGUAUUCUUUGUGUUAGUCAUUAGACAAUUAAAUAGCCUCAGUGUGCAUUUUCAUUAUGCGGGAUGAUUGAAAUAUUAUAAGGUAAUUGUAUUGGUACCUUAAAUAAACAUGCAACUAAUGUAGCUAUUUUGAAAUAUUAUGUAUUAUAAGUAAUAUUGGCAGUUAUUAACAUUGGCCUGAUAAAUAUUAAUAUAUUGUAAGAAAAAUUCACUAAAGUAGAACCUAUUCGUAAAUAGUAACAUAUUAUAGGUAUAUGUUAACAUAUUAUGGCCUUAUGAGUAUAGCAAUGAUAUUAUGAAAUGUGAGUAGAUACAUAUAUCAUUUAGUUUAAUUCUAGUAUUAUACAGUGAGAUUAGAUGAGUAAUUUCUAACACAUGAGUAGAUAAACUAUACAUGGUACAAAGCUUCUUAAGGACGUAUAAGAUCAACUUGUUACAAACUUAAUACAGCUUUCUUCUUUAUUUUGAAAAAAAAAUAGAUGGUAUUUAUAAUGGUAUAAAUUUGGAAAGUUUUCUAUUAUAUUGUUUUUAAUGUGAUUUUUUUGUCAUUUAUGUGCUUUAAUAUAGAUAUAUUUAAGACGCUUGAGAAGAAAUUAAACUUUUCUAUGUAAGGUGGUUUGACUGUGGCUUUAUAUCUCUAUAAUUGAAGCUUUACGUAUAUAUAAAUAAAUAUAAUUAUCAAUAAA